GAUGAACGCUAGCGGCAGGCCUAAUACAUGCAAGUCGAACGAGAUUACGAGGCUUGCUUCUUAUGAAAGUGGCGCACGGGUGCGUAACGCGUAUGCAACCUACCUUAAUCAGGGGGAUAGCCCGAAGAAAUUCGGAUUAAGACCGCAUAAAAACACAGGAUAGCAUUAUCCAAUGUUCAAAUAUUUAUAGGAUUAAGAUGGGCAUGCGUGUCAUUAGCUAGUUGGCGGGGUAACGGCCCACCAAGGCGACGAUGACUAGGGGAUCUGAGAGGAUGACCCCCCACACUGGUACUGAGACACGGACCAGACUCCUACGGGAGGCAGCAGUAAGGAAUAUUGAUCAAUGGAGGGAACUCUGAACCAGCCAUGCCGCGUGCAGGAAGACAGCCCUCUGGGUCGUAAACUGCUUUUAUUCGGGAAUAAACCUUUCUACGUGUAGGAAGCUGAAUGUACCGAAGGAAUAAGGAUCGGCUAACUCCGUG
rnacentral:rRNA from 1 species